rnacentral:rRNA from 1 species
GGGCCAGACUCCUACGGGAGGCAGCAGUGGGGAAUAUUGGGCAAUGGGCGCAAGCCUGACCCAGCAACGCCGCGUGAAGGAUGAAGGUUUUCGGAUUGUAAACUUCUGUCGCGAGGGACGAAGAAUGACGGUACCUCGUAAGAAAGCCCCGGCUAACUACGUGCCAGCAGCCGCGGUAAUACGUAGGGAGCAAGCGUUGUCCGGAUUUACUGGGUGUAAAGGGUGCGUAGGCGGCCCUGCAAGUCAGAAGUGAAAUCCAUGGGCUUAACCCGUGAACUGCUUUUGAAACUGUAGGGCUUGAGUGAAGUAGAGGCAGGCGGAAUUCCCGGUGUAGCGGUGAAAUGCGUAGAGAUCGGGAGGAACACCAGUGGCGAAGGCGGCCUGCUGGGCUUUAACUGACGCUGAAGCACGAAAGCGUGGGUAGCAAACAGGAUUAGAUACCCUAGUAAA